rnacentral:rRNA from 1 species
UGGCCGCGGGAUUCGAUUAAGCCAUGCGAGUCGAGAGGGUUCGGCCCUCGGCGUACUGCUCAGUAACACGUGGAUAACCUGCCCUAGGGGAGGGGAUAACCCCGGGAAACUGGGGAUAAUACCCUAUAGGUUACAGAUGCUGGAAUGCCCUGUAACCAAAAGCUCCGGCGCCCUAGGAUGGAUCUGCGGCCGAUUAGGUUGUUGUUGGGGUAACGGCCCAACAAGCCCGUAAUCGGUACGGGUUGUGGGAGCAAGAGCCCGGAGUUGGAUUCUGAGACACGAAUCCAGGCCCUACGGGGCGCAGCAGGCGCGAAACCUUUACAAUGCGGGCAACCGUGAUAAGGGAACCUCGAGUGCCUGUAAACGCAGGCUGUUCAGGUGUUUAAAACGCACCUGGAGAAAGGGCCGGGCAAGACCGGUGCCAGCCGCCGCGGUAAUACCGGUGGCUCGAGUGGUGGCCGCUUUUAUUGGGCUUAAAGCGUUCGUAGCUGGGUUGUUAAGUCUCUUGGGAAAUCUGGCGGCUUAACCGUCAGGCGUCUAAGGGAUACUGGCAAUCUUGGAACCGGGAGAGGUGAGGGGUACUUCGGGGGUAGGGGUGAAACCCUGUAAUCCUCGAGGGACCACCUGUGGCGAAGGCGCCUCACCAGAACGGCUUCGACAGUGAGGGACGAAAGCUGGGGGAGCAAACCGGAUUAGAUACCCGGGUAGUCCCAGCCGUAAACGAUGCGCGUUAGGUGUAUCGGUGACCACGAGUUACCGAGGUGCCGAAGGGAAACCGUGAAACGCGCCGCCUGGGAAGUACGGUCGCAAGGCUGAAACUUAAAGGAAUUGGCGGGGGAGCAAAUCACUAGUGCGGCCGCCUGCAGGUCGAC